rnacentral:lncRNA from 1 species
UUUGGAUAAACAUUGCAACAAAACGUUUAAAAACAAAAGGUAUGUUGUUAGUUUUAUAACAAAAUUUAUAGCAUGCUAGAGAAAUUUCGGUUUUACAAACAAAGAGUGAAUGUUUUUUGAGAGAGAGAGAGAGAGAGAGAGAGAGAGCUAAAAAGUCUGUUUUGCAUGCUCUUGGUUUUAUUAGAAUUUUGAGAGUUUAUACUCUUUUUUUUGGUUUCCUUUUGUUUGUUAUUGUUUUUGUAAUAAAUCUGUAGUAGUUUAAUUUAAACAAGCAACACAAAACACAUGCUUUUUUUUCCAAUAACAAUAACAACAACAACAACCCACCCCAUUAGAGCGUAAAUGGGUUGCGUGUAUGAAAGAGUGUUUGUGUAAGAGUAUCUGUGUGUGUUUUCCUCUUGUGCUCCUGUGUGUGUAUCUAUGUAAGUUGUUAUAUUUGUAAUUUUAAGAUACCAACAAAAAUUCAUUGCUUUUAUUUUGUAUAUCAGGUUUUUGAUGUUGUUGUUGUUUUGUCUUCUUCAGAUUAAUGGGUAUGUUAAGGUGGUAGUGUUUUUAAUAUGGUGGUGUGGUGCUAGCUAGCUAUUUAUGCUCUGGGAGUUUAUACACAAAAAAAUCUUUUCCGAGAGAGAGAGAGAGAAAGAGAGUAAUUUUUUUUAUUUUCAAUAUGAAAAUUAAACACGGCACUAUAAUUUAGUUUAGUUUUAAACGAGCGAUCGUGUCGCCUGGUGGUGUUUAACGGCAAUGUCUAGAAAACGUUUUUUAACAACUAUGAACGUUUAAAAAAAGAAGAAAAUUUCAACAAAAAAAAAAACUUACUUUUUACUCUUAAAAAAAAAAUUUACUUUUGUGUUUUAUGAAUUGUAACAAAAGCCAAACAAAAUGUGAUUUAUAAACAAGAAAAAAAUUUGCAAAAAAAAAAAACAAAAUUUUAGUUAAAACAAAUAGUUCCUUUUUUUGAUUUCUAAUAAUACACGACAGUUUUGGUGGUGGCUUUUUUCUGAAAACAAAACCCACAAUAAAAAAAGUGUGACACGAUUUUUGUCUCCUCCACAAACACACACACAGAAAUAAUGGUGGAGUAAUACAUAGCAAAAACCAAACAAAAUAAAAAAUAAAAACGAAAACAAGUUUUAUGUUAAAAACCUUUAAAAAUCAUAAAACAAACCAAUUUGUUUAAAAAAUUAAUAGAAAUUAUAAUAAAAUUUGUAAUAAUUUUUUUUCUUAAAGAAAAAAUAAGUUUUCUAAAAAUCAACAAAUUUUCUAUUAAAACUACUGCUUCUUAGAUUUGUUUUUCACUUUUCAACUUAAACAAAUAUCUUAAGAAUGUUUUAUACUAAGCAAGUGCCAAAAUCUUAAAGAAAAAGAAAAAUCGAAAAUUAAAGAAAAAUAUUUGAAAUUUCUUACCAAACAUCAAGAAAGAAAUUUUCAAAGCAAAACAAAAUUGGAUUAUUUUUUUUAAACUUAAAGAAAAACACACACAAAAUACUGGGAUUUACACAUAUAAAUGGAUUAACUUUUUAAAAAAAGCAAAACUAAGAAAAGCUCUUUUUUUAUAUGAUUGAAAUUUGCAAAUAUUUAAUGGAG